GGCCAGACUCCUACGGGAGGCAGCAGUGAGGAAUAUUGGUCAAUGGGCGCGAGCCUGAACCAGCCAAGUCGCGUGAGGGAAGACGGUCCUAUGGAUUGUAAACCUCUUUUGUCGGGGAGCAAAAGACGCCACGCGUGGCGUUCCGAGAGUACCCGAAGAAAAAGCAUCGGCUAACUCCGUGCCAGCAGCCGCGGUAAUACGGAGGAUGCGAGCGUUAUCCGGAUUUAUUGGGUUUAAAGGGUGCGCAGGCGAAGUAUCAGGUCGGUGUUAAAGUUGGGGGGCCCACCCUUUCCGAGCCGUUGAAACUGGUUUUCUUGAGUGAGCGAGAAGUAUGCGGAAUGCGUGGUGUAGCGGUGAAAUGCAUAGAUAUCACGCAGAACUCCGAUUGCGAAGGCAGCCUGCCGCAGCGUUACUGACGCUGAAGCUCGAAAGCGCGGGUAUCGAACAGGAUUAGAUACCCCCGUAA
rnacentral:rRNA from 1 species